AGUGUGUUUUACGUCACUUUUGGUAUACAGUUCCAGAUUUGCCCUGACGGAUCGAAGGUUGGGUUAAGUGUGCAUAAUGCUGCGUGUGGCACUAUAGCAGAGACAAACUGGCCUGUGACGCUCUUGUAUCAUGAGGCUAGCCCAUAACGUCUACUCUACAACUCUAAUAAUUCGGUGGAAUAAAUUUCAUCUGGACAAGUGUCCUCGGGCGAGGCAGUCAUCCUGGUACAUUUUGUCCUACAACACCCACUGACUUCACACUAGGCUCGGGCGACCACAACAGACCACGAGGACUUGGCGUACCGAAGAACAUCUAUAACGACGGCAUAGUGGCACGACGUUACCUGUCACAGGUCUGUCAUCUGACGCCAGCCUUUUGAUAUUUUUUGUCGGAAAAUGGCAAAGUUUCCUAAAUUGUGAAGUUGUAAAAAAUUUAAUUAGUUCAUAAUCUUGUUGAAUAUCUUGGCUAAGUCUUAUUAAUGCUUUGUCUACACAACUUGCCACCAGGGACCAAAAGUGUCGUUAGGGUAAAUAUUAUGGAAAAAUUAAUACACUUCGAAUAAGGAAAACUAUUAAUGUCCUGUGACUUGUAUGUCAAUUUUGUGACAUUUGAACAAUGCAGGGGUGGAGUGUUAAAAGUGAAAUUAUAUGUAUACCAGUACAUACCAGUGUAGGUGGAUGUGAAACCUAGUUGUGGCAUUAUUUUUGGGCUUUGCUAGGUAUAAAAGAUAAGACAGGUCAGUCUUUUAUUUUUGUUUGGCAGUGAGUGUGCAUAUAGAAACUUGCACGCUGGGUUGACCCUCCGGUGUUCCAGAAAUACAUUUUUGCAAGUUUUUCGUAUUAAAACCCAUUCUGACAACGCAACUAAAUGACUUUAGUUGCUUAUUUCUCUCUCCACAGAACUACAUUCUAUAUUACGACCCAGUAUAGUAGAAAAAUAAGCUAAUUUUCAUGUACAUAUUCAUAUAGUACAGAUUUAAUUACCUUCCUAGUUUUAGGAAGAUAAUGGAAGGAUGGAGUUAUCAGGAGAAAGCGCAAAGCCAUUAAGACUACAUAGCCCUUGGAAUGGGAUGGUAAAAAUUAUUACAAAGAAACUACCGUCUACCAAGAAACUAAGACAGGGUGGUAGUUUCCACACCCUGGAAACUCAAUGUAAUUCUAGCAAGACUGUUAAAUAAUUUAUUAGAAUUGUCAGAAGUGUACCUUUUAGUUUAUUAAAAAUUUUAACU